rnacentral:rRNA from 1 species
UGGAUUCGCUAGUAAUCGCGCAUCAGCCAUGGCGCGGUGAAUACGUUCCCGGGCCUUGUACACACCGCCCGUCAAGCCAUGGGAGCCGGGGGCGCCUGAAGUCCGGGACCGCGAGGACCGGCCUAGGGCGAAACUGGUAACUGGGGCUAAGUCGUAACAAGGUACC